rnacentral:rRNA from 1 species
GACGAACGCUGGCGGCGUGCUUAACACAUGCAAGUCGAACGGAAAGGCCCUGCUUUUGUGGGGUGCUCGAGUGGCGAACGGGUGAGUAACACGUGAGUAACCUGCCCUUGACUUUGGGAUAACUUCAGGAAACUGGGGCUAAUACCGGAUAGGAGCUCCUGCUGCAUGGUGGGGGUUGGAAAGUUUCGGCGGUUGGGGAUGGACUCGCGGCUUAUCAGCUUGUUGGUGGGGUAGUGGCUUACCAAGGCUUUGACGGGUAGCCGGCCUGAGAGGGUGACCGGCCACAUUGGGACUGAGAUACGGCCCAGACUCCUACGGGAGGCAGCAGUGAGGAAUAUUGCACAAUGGGCGGAAGCCUGAUGCAGCAACGCCGCGUGCGGGAUGACGGCCUUAGGGUUGUAAACCGCUUUCGCCUGUGACGAAGCGUGAGUGACGGUAAUGGGUAAAGAAGCACCGGCUAACUACGUG